rnacentral:rRNA from 1 species
GGCCCCUACGGGACGCAGCAGUGGGGGAUAUUGCACAAUGGGGGAAACCCUGAUGCAGCGAUGCCGCGUGAAUGAAGACGGCCUUCGGGUUGUAAAGUUCUGUCGCAGGGGACGAAAAUGACGGUACCCUGCAAGAAAGCUCCGGCUAACUACGUGCCAGCAGCCGCGGUAAUACGUAGGGAGCAAGCGUUGUCCGGAAUUACUGGGUGUAAAGGGAGCGUAGGCGGGAGGAUAAGUUGAAUGUGUAAUUUAUGGGCU